GUGACCAACGGCAUUCGGAAUUAAAUAUGCUUGUGUGCGUAGUCCUCCUUGUACCGACAAGGCUCCUCCGAGCAUGCAUCGCUGUUGACAUUCUUUCGACGUUGGUGUCAACCGCCGGACUUGAUUUUGCUGUUGAUAUUUUUAACAGACAAAUCUAAAUUAAAAUCAAGCAAAAUCAAUUGAAAUGUCUUCGAUGCCUGUGAAGAGAAGUCGAAAAGUGACGAAUCUGGCAAAUAAGAUGCUAGCGGCUUUAGAAGCGGAGUACUAUCGUGAGCAAAAUCUGCACGCAGAAGUACCGGUACCGAGACGGAUGGUGACUCAAAAUACCGAUCCAACUUCCUAUGGAGAGAAACAACCCCAGAAGAUGGAUGAUUCGUCGAAGCUUCCCGACUCGACAGACACAGGCGAUAUUAGUGUUAAUCUUUCUUUGGAUGGUGUUCAAGAAGAUGUAGAAGACGUGGUUGGAGAGUCAACGGCUGUUCAUAAUUGCAUAAACCAUGCCAGCGUUGGUGCUUAAGAGAUUGGGCAGUUAUGCAUAACCAACCACGUUCGUCGGUGAAUGAAAUAUUAGCUAUUUUCCGACAAUGGACCAAUCUGCCGCUGCCCAAGGAUUCGCGUGAGCUGCUAAAAACUCCCGCAACCAUUGGCCAGAAGAUUCAAACCAUAUGAGGAGAAGAAUCUUUGGUACCGAGGAAUAAAAAAUAAGCUCAACAGUUAAUUUCAGUUUUAGGUUUGUCAACAGACCAACUCAUAGCUAGAUCAUCAGAUUCUGCUAUCUACAGACGGACUUCCCCUUCAUAGGGGUGGACCAACACAGAUUUGGCCCAUUGAAAAUAAAUGGAAAUUAAAGAGCUACCCGUCGCUCCCGUUAUGGUGAUCUCGGGUGUUUUAUGGACCAGCUAAUCCAACACGCAUGGAAGUCUUGUUGAGGCCGUUGGUAGAAGAGGUGAAUGAAAUUCAACGGAGAUUAGCGCUUUUAUUGCAAGUGUACCGGCGCGGUAGUUUUGUAUAAGGUUUGCAACAUGAGUGUAACAUUUACAUUGGAUCAAAGUGCUAAUUCAUUGAUUUAACCACUUGAUUUAGCAACAACCAGCUACAACGGUUACCACGGCUGCAUGAGAUGUACCUGUGUUGAGGAAUAGUUAGUCAACAAGAUAAUUUUUGACUCCGUUGGUGCUCCCCUAAGAACCGACGCAGGGUUUCGAACGAGGGAAUGUCAGGACUAUCACAAACCGUGGCGAUCACCUUUGGAAGACAUGCCGGACUUCGACAUGGUCAAGAACGUACCAACGAGCGAUCGUCUGCAUACGUGCGAUCUAGGAGUAACACGUCGUCAAUUAUUAAAACUAGUUCAAAAUAAGUAUAAUAAGUUUCCUGUAUUGUCUUUAUCUGGAAAACAAUGGAUAUCCGAAUGUAUUACUAACGUCCACCUUCCAUCUGAGAUUAAUCGCAAACUCAGAGUGUUGGAUGCGAUACAUUUUUGGAAGGGUUCGGUUGUGAUACAGUUCAGAAGGGUCAGUCCAGUGCUGAUGAAGAAGUUUAUGCUCAUUUUCUGCUGUAUUUUUGUGGAAUGACUAUAUUGUAUUCCUUCUUCCAUCGACGUUAUUAUGGACGUUCAGUUGAAUUUUUGAACAAAUUUGUUCAGCAUUUUUUCUGGCCUCUUAUUUUGUUUACGCCCAUUAUCAAGAGACCAAUGGGUUUUGACGAAUUGUUGACAAAUUUCCGAUUAUAAAUUUGUUAAUGUCUAACAAAAUAAUGACAAUUUUUCCAUAAUUGGAAAACAAUAUAAAUAUAGUACUGAUUUAUUUUCAUUUCUCCUAAGUGUUGAUGAUCCAGAAUCAAAAUUUUAGUUUUU